rnacentral:lncRNA from 1 species
UGAGAUUCCUCUGUAACAAUUUAUCCAGCUUAAUAAAGGCAAAUCUCCUUUUUCUUCAAGGUUUUUGACUUUUUCAUACCCUGACUAGACUUGAAAGAAGAGUUCAGUCUCAGAACAGCCUUUUUCUUUCCCACAGAGGAAGACUGGAAUCUCUUAAGAGUCUGUCACUGCUACUCUGGUUGACAGGUGAUGUCGCCAAUGAGAUAAGAAUCGUUGCAUUCCCCACAUCAAAAGGUGGAACACACUGUAUGACAUCUGUUUGCUGGAAGAAAUACUAACCAUAGAAGUCCUUAAGAACAUCAACAUUUAUUUAAUAUGAUAUAAAAGAAAUGAGAUAUGAACAAUCGUAUCUGAACAGUAAGUGGUUUCUUAUACUUACAUCGUAUGUGCUCAUUGUAUAGUAUAUACACAAUGAACAUAAUUACAUUUUUACACAAACUAAGCACUGGAUUGAAAACCUGCUUAUUGCUGUACACAUCCUAACCCAAAGGAAAAGUCCAGUACCUCAAAAUACCUACACUCCAUUUUAUUUAAGAAAAAGUAAGUACUAACAUUAAUGUAUUUGUUGACAGAAGUGUGGCAGUAACUGCUGACUUUGCAACCUGACCAAGAAGUAAUUACAGCAGAAACAGGACAUAUUUUACUAAGCAAUAAUAAAAAUGGCACAUUUUAAAUAUAUCUAUAUGCAUAUAUAUAUAUAAAAAUUUUACAAAUAAAAUGUUAAAACAAUAAAUUGUAGUGUUUAAAAAGUGUAAAACAGGUUUAGUGGUGAUAUGUAAAAUUAACUGUUAUGCAUCUAAAAGAAGCAAAAAAGUAAACUUAUAUGAUCUGUCAUUAAAAGAACAUUAAUUCUGGAAAACAAAGUUCUGACUGUAGGCUGCACA